GCUACUGUUGUUUUUGCCCAAUCAACAAAAUGACUUUUCAUCGCCUUGUCACUUCAGCUUCCUUUUCUUCUUCAAGAUGCAUACACACUCCUGAGAGAACAUUAAUUUCAACUUUUCCUUACCAGCCCUCAUUUAGAUUACCCCAUUUCAUCUUCUACCUUCCUGAUCAAUCCGACUCUCCCUCUCUAUCCCUUUCUUCUUGAUCUUCUGCAUAUUCAGGGACUCCCCCAACCAGGUACACUGUUACUUUAUCCUUCAUCGUUUCUUUUGCUACCGUAUGCGCAAGACUGUUAACUGUUCUUGGGACAUAUUCAAAUCUGCAUUCAUUGAGUUUUGAUAGUAGCUUAUGAAUAUCGCUAAUGUAAGCACAUACCUGUGAUUUAUCUGGGAUACUUGACUUGCACUUUUUUAUUAUCGGUAAUGAGUCUCCUUCGAUAAUGAUUUAUUCCCAUUUCCUUUCUAUGUCGAUUUUGGUCACUUUCCGGCACGCGAGCGCCUCGGCCGCAAAGGCUGAUGUCACUUGUUGAUAGAUCUUCGAGCAUGAUAAAAGAACCUUGCCUUCAUUGUCUCUAGCCACAAUCCCCACAGUCGCUUGAUUAUACUUUCCAUCGUAGGCUGCAUCAAAGUUGAUCUUCAUGAACUGGUCAGGUGGCUUCCUCCACUUUCUAAUAAUUAUAGAAGACUGUGACCUCUUUUUUGUCGAUCUCGUUCAACUCUGAUAUAUAGCUAUUAACAAAUAUGCCUAAUGCUUUUCCAGAUUUACUCACUUUUUUGUGCACUCAGUCAUUUCUAUCUCCCCAAAUUGCCCACAAUGCACAGUAGAAUAUCCUACAUUGUGAUGCUGAGUUCUUCGCAAAUACCCAGGUUAGCCACUGUAUAAACUCCAACUGACUUUCUUGCAAAAAAACUUUGCAUGGUAAUUCCCUCCAUACUGAAAUUGAAAUAGGGCAUUCACAGAAAAGAUGGUCCAUGUUCUCUGAUCCAACUCCAAAGCGUGGACAUAUUGUUAUGUUUGUUAGCUUUUUUUGAAGCAUAUUAACUCGUAUAGCUAGGAAAUUCCAUGAUAUCUUCCAAAUUGUAAUUUUGAUUUUUGAAGGAAGGUUCAGGAGCCAUAAUUUUUUGUAAAAUUCCUUAUAGUCAUCUUGUAAAGCGUAAGCUCUAGGAUCAUCUUCAAUACUCUGUAAUAGUUUAUAGGCUCUUCGCACUGUGAAUUCGCCCGACGCCUCUACACUCCAAACCCGAAAAUCAUCAUGAGGUUUUUCUGCCAAUGGGAUGCCAAUAAUCUUCUCAGCUACAUCCUCUGGAAAGGUAGAAAUUAUCAACUCUUUUUUCCAUGUUCUGUUACUUUGAUUAAUUAAAUCGGCAACUUUAAAAUCAUUCAAAUUUGUAUUUAAAGCUAAUAACCUGCUCUUUUUCACAUCUGGGAUCCAAAAGUCAUUGCUAACUGAAAUAUGUGUUCCCUUUUCCACUUUCCAACACAGACCUUCCUCUACAGUGCCCUUUGUAGCCCAAAUACUUUUUCAUGUAUACGAAGCAUUGUUCCCCAAUCGUAAGUCUAAGAAAUUAACAUUUGGGAAAUAUUUUGCUUUUAAAACUUGAGCUAAUAAGGAAUCUAGAUUGUUCAAGAUUCUCCAUCCCUGUUUGGCUAAUAGUGAGACAUUAAAUUUAGCCAUAUCUCUAAAGCCCAAACCAUCUUCUACUUUUGAUCAUCACAAAUAUUUCCAUUGACACCAAUGAAUUCCUCUUCUCCCGUGGGCUUUUUGCCACCAGAAUUUAGCAAAAAUGCUUUCUAUAUCUCUGGAUAAUGACUUUGGCGAUAAGAAACAAGACAUAGCAUAGGUUAGAAUAGCUUGUAGUACUGACUUUAAAAAUACUUCCUUGCCUCCUUGCGAUAACAUUCUGGUACUCCAUCCUUCAAUUUUGCUAUGUAUUUUCUCUUUGAGAUGCUGAGAUACUGAAAAGAUUCUUCUUUCCAUCUGCCAACCACAUUCGGGAGACCUAAAUAUCUUUCCAUAUUUGUUGAGGUAUUUAUCCCCAGAAUUGCUGAGACUUUUUCUUUUUUUUCUUCUGUAGUGUUCGUGCUGAAAAAAAUUGUAGAUUUAUUGAAAUUUAUACAUUGGCCAGAACACUUUCCAUACAUCUUCAAUAUUUCUUUUAGCACAUUUGCCCCCUUGACUGAUGCGUCCCCAAACAGAAUACAAACAGAAUACAAUCAUCUGCAAAAAGUAAGUGUGAAAUUUCUAGGCCUCUUCUACUUGCUUUUGCACCUCUCAACGAUCCUUCCUUCAUUGCCAAUCUCAUCAACGGUGAUAAUCCCUCGCUGCACAUUAAAAAUAGAAAAGGGCUUAGAGGAUCUCCCUGUCGCAAUCCUCUUGUCGACUUAAAGCUUCGUCCACUUCUUCCAUUUGUAUUGACUACAUAGGACGUUGUAGAUAUACAUUUCAUAACCAGCUCCACCCAUUCCUUUGCAAAACCCAUUCUUAACAUGACUUCUUUUAUAUAGCCCCAUUCUACCCUAUCAUAAACUUUACUCAUAUCAAGCUUUACUGCCAUGUAUCCUUUUUUUCCCUGCGCUUUUGUCGAAAUGUAUGCAAAAUCUCAUAUGUAAGAAGCACAUUGUUUGUAAUUAACCUUCUUGGGACGAACGCACUUUGAGUUACAUUAAUACAUCUUCUAAUACCUACUUGUAGUCGACUUGCAAUUAUUUUCGCCACCAUUUUAUAAAGAACUGAGCACAAACUAAUGGGUCUAAAAUUAGUUAGGCUAGUGGGAUUAGGAAUUUUUGGAAUCAACACGAUCUCUGUUUGAUUAAAAUGUCUAAAAUUUUCCCCAUUAAUUUGAAUUCCCAAACAAAAGUUAGUAAUUUUCUUUCUUACAAUGUGCCAAUACUUCUGAAAGAAAAUUGCUAGAAAACCAUCACUGAUGCUUUAGUGGGUCCCAUUCCUUUCAGAGCCUCAUAGACUUCUUCUGCUGUAUAUUUUGACAUCAGAACUCUGUUAAUUUUUUCCAGAAUAUUACUUUCAAUGCCCGUUAGAAGAUAAGAAAGGUCUCUUACUCCAUUUGACGUGAAUAACUUUUGAAAGUACAUAAUAGCAACUUCAUUAAUCUCACUAACUUCGGUAACCUCUCCUCCUCUAUUAAGUUCUAACUUUGAUAUGGUAUUAAUGUUUCUUCGAUAUGUGGCAAACCUAUGAAAGAAAGUCGAAUUCCUAUCUCCUGCUUUAAGCCAAUUUACUCUUGCCCUUUGUUCCUAGUAAACUUCAUCUUUAUCAAUUUUUAUAUUCAGGUGGAUUUGGGUAUCGAUGACUUUUGCCAUUGUUUCGUCAGUCUUUUCUUGCGCCAUUAACGUAUCAAGUUACUUUGUAAGCUUUUUCUUCAAUCCUUCUCUCUAUUCUUUUAUUGAUUUUGCCCAUAUUUUUAAGUCUGCUUGUAGUCUUUCGAGUUUUUCAGCAACUGCACCUAUUCCUAACUCCCAAGAUUCUUUAACUACUUCCUCAAUCAUUUCCUCCAUGAGCCACCAUGCCUUAAAUUUAAAUUUUGAAUUGCCCUUAUAAGAAUUUCCACGUUUUGUGUUUAUAAGAAGUGGGCAAUAGUCAGACAUUGAGUGUGUUAGGUGUUUGAUGUUACUUGUUGAAAAUAGCUGCCUCCAUUUGUCAUUUUCCACUCCCCUGUCAAGUCUUUCUUUAAUGUUUAUCUCAGCAAAUUUCCUUUUUCCCAAGUAAACCAAACCCCCAAAUAUCCCAAGUCUUCUAGUAGGUAUUCUUCUAAAGCCUCUCGAAAGGCCUUUAUUUUACUCUCUUCCCUAGGUACACCUCCACAUUUUUCGUAAGAUUACAUGAUCUCAUUAAAAUCACCACUUACCAACCAUGGAUGACUUCUGUCUUGCCCUAAUUUCUUUAGCAGAUUCUACGUAGCACUCCUAUUAUUACCAUACGGCGAACCAUAGAACCCCGUGAACCUCCAUUCUGCUUCAUCAUUGCCUUCUUUAACCAUAAUAUCAAUAUGAUUCCUAGAAUAACUUUGUAAGCUUAUUCUAGUGUCUCCUUUCCAUGCUAAACAUAGUCCUUCUCGAGAACCCUCUGCUUCAAUAUCAAUUCCAUUAAUAAAACCGCAUCUCCUUGUGACUUUUUCCAUGCGUUGCUUAUCUAGCUUUGUCUUCAUUAAGAAGACCAUCUGGGGAUUGUACUGCUUUAGGAAAAAACACAGCCUCCUUACUGCCCGUGGACUCCCCAAUCCAUGAACAUCACUUCUGAGAAGGUUCUAUCACAGCCCUUAACAUCAUCUUUUUUCAAUCUUUUAGUUCCGUCCACCUCAACAUCUCCCUUGUCACUCAUUGUGAGAUCUCUUUCUAGGGACUUCCUCUUUCCCAUACUAUUCUCAGCCUUUGUUUGUAUCAUUGUGGCCAUUGGUUUCAUUUUUUUCAGCUCGUUUUCUUUUCAUGGUUUACGUUUUUACACUCUUGUACCUUGCUGCCAUUUGCCUUCUCAGCCUCCUCUAACCCAAAUAUGCUUCCCUGCUCCUUUAUCAUCUCCUUCCCUCCCAUCAAUUCCAUAUACUCCUGUACUUCUCGAAUCUCAUUAUUCUAUUUUUCUAUUAUUUUAGAAUUUCUUUUCAACACUAUUUUGCCUCCUAAUUAAGAGCUUUGAACCCCCACCUUCUUCGUCAUAGCAUUAAGUUUCAUAUUUUCUUUUCCAACUAAUUUUGAUUCUGUUUUUAAAGCCAACGAAUAAGGUGGAUCAAUACUAAUUUUGCUUUUUCUUACAGGUAUUAUUUGAGUGCAAUUUGUUAUCCCGUGCCCCAUUCUUCCACAUCCAAAACAAAAUAUCAGUAGAUUCUCAUACUUAAAAGGAAUACCAUGUUUUAUUAACAUUAAUACUAGAGACAAAAAUACCUCGGCGUAGUGGUUUCCGAACAUCCAAAUUGAUUGAGUCAACAGCAAGCAUCGUUAAUUUCAAAUCUGAUAACCCCCUAAACGUAACACCAAUUGUAUGUAGGAGAUCCUUCUUAUCAAAUUCUGGUAAAUACGAAUCAAUUUUUAUCUAAAACGGUGAAGAAUUUAGACUAAUUUGAUCUCUUUCCAUCGUUUGAACUAACAUAUUGAAUAAAAUAAUACUUUUACGGAAAAGCCAAGGUCUCCCCUCCAUAAUUGACUCCAGAUUUUCUUCCAAAUCAAACACUAUCAAAAAUAGAUUUUGCCCCACCCGCUAGAUCUCAAACUUUUUCCUUGUCUUCUAUAUACUUUUCAUUUGUACCCUAAAGCUUUCUGGGUUGUAAAGCUUUUCUGUCCAAACCGUGCAUAUCAGCGUUGGUUUAGAAUUUGGUACCACCAUCGACCCCUUGACUGAUAAUUGGAUGAGUUCUUCUGCUAGGAGAAAGAUCUCAUCCCUUCCUUCUCUAUCCUCACCACCGCUUUCUUCCAUCCUAAGCUGCAGUAGUUACUGCUUUCUCUAGGACUCUACGUAAAGCACUCUUGGGAGCAGAGAGAGAUUUUUACAAUAUUGUAUAAGAUUAGAAUCUUGUAUUAAAU
rnacentral:lncRNA from 1 species